rnacentral:rRNA from 1 species
AGAGUUUGAUCAUGGCUCAGAUUGAACGCUGGCGGCAUGCUUUACACAUGCAAGUCGAACGGCAGCGGGGGCUUCGGCCUGCCGGCGAGUGGCGAACGGGUGAGUAAUGCAUCGGAACGUGCCCAUGUUGUGGGGGAUAACUACGCGAAAGCGUAGCUAAUACCGCAUAAGCCCUGAGGGGGAAAGCGGGGGAUUCUUCGGAACCUCGUGCGAUUGGAGCGGCCGAUGUCGGAUUAGCUAGUAGGUGAGGUAAAGGCUCAUCUAGGCGACGAUCCGUAGCGGGUCUGAGAGGAUGAUCCGCCACACUGGGACUGAGACACGGCCCAGACUCCUACGGGAGGCAGCAGUGGGGAAUUUUGGACAAUGGGCGCAAGCCUGAUCCAGCCAUGCCGCGUGAGUGAAGAAGGCCUU